GACAGAAACCAAGAAGAUAGUAUAACAAGGAUGGAAUUGUUUCUGAAGAAAAAAGAUACAUUUAGAACCAAUGCCAUCAAAAUCAUCAUCAAGAUUUUGGAUCUAUUCAACAAUCGUAUAUCUGAGAUCUGGGAAUAUCUGGACGAGGUAUGUAUCCCUUAAAGCAUAGCCACAGUUUGGCAGUUUGUUUCAAACUUGUUUGGCAGUUUCAGUUACCCCCCUCUGACAGUCUUGGUAAAUGUGCUUGAAGAGAUGAGGGUGCAGCUUUUCCAUUUAACAAUUAUUUUUUUUUAACCAAUAGAACAGUGGCUCCCAACCUUUUUCAGUUAUUGUACUCCCCAAAAAGAUUUUGCAAUGUUUGAUGUACCCCUCUUGUCAAUUUCACUAGUAAGCCUAUGGUAUCAUGAGUGUUUGCAAGUACCCCCUGUGGAGAGGCCAGGUACCCCCAGGGGUCCUAGUACCCCUGGUUGGGAACCACUGCAAUAGAAAGUCUGCCUUUCAGGAUGUGCUUUUGUAUGCAACCAAAAUAAUUAUUAGGUAAUUACAAAUUGUGAAACUCCAUAAUUUCACUAUUGCAGUAGAUAUUUUAUGGACACACUCCUUUAAGUCAAUGUUUAGUUCAGAUAUCUUGUGUUUGCAUCAAGUACUUAAUGCAUAUAGGAAAUGUUUUAGUACUUCAUUUGUACUUUUCAUAUCAAACUUCUAUGCCUUUAAGAUACUCCACAGCAUCUGCUUUUUAGGCUGGAUUGAUCAGAUGAAGUGGACCCCAGAUAAAAUCUUUGGUAGAACUCUAACGGAUUCGAGGUUGGCUCAUCUAAGAGGAUGGCAGGUUUACAAUACUCGGCUUCCAAAACGGACUCCGUUUUCCUGUCUGCUGGAUAUGGUGGUCAUCUACUGCCAAGACCGUGAACCAAACACAAUACUGAGGGAGCUGCAGAACAUCACAGUAGAUCUGUCAGGGAAGGACCUAGUUGCCUCAACUAUCUGUAUGUCUCAAAAAAGGGGUGGUGGUGAAAGGUACUAUGGAGCAUCCAUGUCCUGUUCAGGGAGAAGGACGGGACAGAUCAUGGUCGCAGUGUCCUGCCUGGAAACCUGGCACUACAGUGUAUCCAACGCUGUGAUGACAUACAGACCAGAGAAGACGAACAACGACUUUAACGGCACCAUGAAUCUGGAUGAGCAUGUUGAGUGUCAAGCAUACGAUGUGAAUAGUGGUAGAGAGAAGCCUCCGUGCAAAUCCUGUAGUGAGAUGUUUGGCCUGAGUACAGAGGAAACGAAAGGAUGGACCCAUGGAAACUGUGCCGAGGCAGAAAGCUUGAGCAAACUCCUUGACAAUGAGGGAGACCUUGCUGAGGAAAACAUAGAUGGCAACAUACGACAGCAGGUGAUGGCAGAGGUAGAGAGAUUUCUGAGGAAGAGACUCAGAGAAAUCCAACAGUUUCAGUGGGAUGAUACAUUUUAUCUUCCGAAUAUAGUACUCUGAGGAUUACAAACAGCUGUUUAAAUAUGAACAGUAUGAAAUAUGAAAUAUGAGAAAUAGCAAUAAUCAGUUGGAAAUUUCCAGACUUAUGAAACAUUUUGAUUAUUGCUCUGAAAAUGCAUGGUGGUAUUUUCAACCUCUUGCAUACAGUAGAAAACAAUGUAACCACUGCGCUAUAGUCAUAAAGUAAUAUUACUAAACUCUGUCCAAUUAAUGUCCUAUUUGUGGGGAACUGUUCUGACUAGUAUGAAGACACUGAUUCAUAAUGUUUUUUGUGGUAAAAUACAUGUAAAUGUGGUUAUAAACUUCCCUUCAAUAUACGGUUUGCACUGAUGCACAUUUUACUCAACGGUAACAUAUGAUAACUUCUGGUCCGAAUUGAUGUCUUGGUUGACUCGCAUGAGUAAUUAAUUAAAGGUUUUUGGAUUACAUUUUGUUGCUGCGCAUGUUUGUUUGAUCUCAGAGUGUCUUUGAGUUUCAGUGUGUUCAGUUUGCAAAUGAAAGGAUGGAGAGGG
rnacentral:lncRNA from 1 species